rnacentral:rRNA from 1 species
AUGGGUGCCGGCCUCUUCGGCUACCUAGAUCAAACCAUUGCAGAACCACCAAAAACCCUCACCACCAAAAACGCCGAAGGGAAGGAUCAGGUUGCUGUGAACCCUGCCUACUCCCAAUGGCUCAUCCAAGACCAACAAAUCGUCGCUUACCUCCUCAGAAACCUGUCCAAAGAAGUUCUGGUCCAGGUCGCUUCGCUUGAGAAAUCACAUGCGAUAUGGACCGCGCUUGGGAACAUGUUCUCAGCCAUGUCUCUCUCACGCGCCAACAACAUACGAGUCGCCCUCACCAACGCC